CCUGGGUACCCUGCCCUCAUUCCCAGGGGUCCCUGGGUGCCUCUUGGAGGUCCCUGGGUGCCCCCAGGUGUGCCCAGGUGCCCCCAGGUGUGACCAGGUGCCCCCUCACCUGCCCCAGGUGUUCAUCUGCGGCCCCACCCCUCACUGGGUGCUGCUCACGGGGGUCCCUGGGUGCCCUGUCCCCAUUCCCAGGGGUCCCUGGGUGCCCCCAGGUGUGACCAGGUGCCCCCUCCCCUGUGCCCAGGUGUUCACCUGCGGCCCCUGCCCUCACUGGGUGCUGCUCACGGGGGUCCCUGGGUGCCCUGUCCCCAUUCCCGGGGGUCCCUGGGUGCCCCCAGGUGUGCCCAGGUGCCCCCUC